GUUUGAUUUUGAGCUGUCUUAGAUUCACAUAUUCUAUAAUAAUAAUAUAAUUAUAUAAUAAUAAUCUAGAAGAAAUACUCAGAAAAAACAAUGAUAUGCCAGUGCCUUGGACAAAUUAAGUGUCCUGUUUCCUCCGGUGGGACAGACAUACAGAUACAGAUGUAGAUAUAGGUAUAAUGACAGAGCACAGCUGCUUCAUAUAUUCUUAAAAGGCUUUAUCUGGUUUUCUGAAAGACUUUAACUCAGCCUGCUUAAGAGUUCACCCCCACCCCCUUCCUGGAUGGAGGAGUUAGCAUACCUGAGCAGUUAGUAACCUCAUUUCCUUAAAAAAAAAAAAGGGUGUGAGUGUGUGUUAUAUAGUAUACAGUCUCCAAGGAGAAGUAAACACACCCUUAUAGGGUGAGCUUAACCUCUGCUUCUGUUUCUGCUUCUGGAGUUUGAGAAACAGGAAUACUAAAAUAUGAUCAUGGACUGGACAGAUAGAAGGGAUUUAAGAGAUCGUUUGUAUCAGAUCACUCACUCACGCACUCAUUCAUUCAUUCAUUCAUGCAUGCAUGUGCUAUUCAACUAUCAUUUAUUCCGUGUUUACUUAAAUGCCAGGCACUGGCAUUUACAGGAUAAGUCAUUGGUUCUGGCAAUAAAUUCCAUCUAGUUGGGAAAAGCUGUGUAAACAAACAAGUAACUCCAGAGAUAACACAUUAGAGGUGUGUACAAAGACCUAUGAGGGAAUGUUUAACUACUCAGGGCCUCUGGAGGAAUUCAAAGAGGAAUGGACAGGAAUGUUGGAGUUCCCCAAGAAAACGGAAUGGUAACGGCUAGACUAGAAUGAAAGAUGUUGAAAUCCUCAAGCUCUUGACUGACUGACAGCUGACCAGCCAAACAGUGGCCAGGUCCAUCUCCAUACUUAUAAGGCGGAUUAGUUUGUAGAUAGCAGUGUUUUGUUCUAUGAGCUCAGCCAAUGCUUUCAUUUGCAUAGAUUUACAGGAUUUACCUAAUGGAAGAAUGCAUUGGAGAGAACAGUGGGGCAAAGAUGCUAUUUUUCUAAGGGGUUUGCCUGAAUAUCUGCUGCUCAGUAAGGUUGAAAAGCAUUUUUGUCAUGCAAAGUGUCAUAGAUAAAUCCUUUAAGUGUUCUUAAUUCCAUUAUUUUGUUGCCCUCUUACCUCAUUGACCAUUUAUAAAGUUAAUCUACAUUUGAGAUCAAAC
rnacentral:lncRNA from 1 species